GGAAGGUGAACUGGCGAUGGCGCCAGACCUCAUUCGAAGUGAGUGGGCGUCUUCACGGGCGUGGGGUUCGAGUCCUCCGCCUUCCG
rnacentral:tRNA from 1 species